rnacentral:rRNA from 1 species
CUUACACAUGCAAGUCGAGCGGAUGAGGUAGCUUGCUACUGGAUUCAGCGGCGGACGGGUGAGUAAUGCUUAGGAAUCUGCCUAUUAGUGGGGGACAACGUUCCGAAAGGAGCGCUAAUACCGCAUACGCCCUACGGGAGAAAGCAGGGGACCUUUGGGCCUUGCGCUAAUAGAUGAGCCUAAGUCGGAUUAGCUAGUUGGUAGGGUAAAGGCCUACCAAGGCGACGAUCUGUAGCGGGUCUGAGAGGAUGAUCCGCCACACUGGGACUGAGACACGGCCCAGACUCCUACGGGAGGCAGCAGUGGGGAAUAUUGGACAAUGGGGGGAACCCUGAUCCAGCCAUGCCGCGUGUGUGAAGAAGGCCUUUUGGUUGUAAAGCACUUUAAGCGAGGAGGAGGCUACCUAGAUUAAUACUUUAGGAUAGUGGACGUUACUCGCAGAAUAAGCACCGGCUAACUCUGUGCCAGCAGCCGCGGUAAUACAGAGGGUGCGAGCGUUAAUCGGAUUUA